UACGUAGGGUGCAAGCGUUGUCCGGAAUUAUUGGGCGUAAAGAGCUCGCAGGCGGUUUGUCGCGUCUGCCGUGAAAGUCCGGGGCUCAACUCCGGAUCUGCGGUGGGUACGGGCAGACUAGAGUGAUGUAGGGGAGACUGGAAUUCCUGGUGUAGCGGUGAAAUGCGCAGAUAUCAGGAAGAACACCCGUGGCGAAGGCGGUUCUCUGGGACGGUACUGACGCUGAGACGCGAAAGCGUGGGGAGCGAACAGG
rnacentral:rRNA from 1 species